ACAUUCAAGUUGCGCGACAACGGGAGGAGACUUANGUAACUUCCCUAGUAAAGCAGCGGACGGGUGAGUAACACGUAGGUGACCUGCCCCGGAGAGGGGGACAACCGGCGGAAACACCGGCUAAUACCCCAUAAGCUCACAUUGAUUAGCAAGAGGUGAGAAAAGGUCAGGCGCAAGUCUGUGCGCUCCGGGAGGGGCCUGCGGGCCAUCAGCUANUUGGUGGGGUAAAAGCCCACCAAGGCGAAGACGGCUAGGGGGCCUGAGAGGGUGACCCCCCACAUGGGAACUGAGACACGGUCCCGACUCCUACGGGAGGCAGCAGUAAGGAAUAUUGCACAAUGGGCGCAAGCCUGAUGCANCAACGCCGCGUGCAUGACGAANGCUUUCGGGUUGUAAAAUGCUUUUCUGGCANAAGANGAAGGACAGUAUGCCAGGAAUAAGAGUCNGCUAACUACGUGCCANCCACCGCGGUAAAACGUANGACUCAAGCGUUAUCCGGAUUAACUGGGCGUAAA
rnacentral:rRNA from 2 species